rnacentral:rRNA from 1 species
CCUACGGGAGGCAGCAGUGAGGAAUAUUGGUCAAUGGGCGGGAGCCUGAACCAGCCAAGCCGCGUGAGGGAAGAAGGUACAGCGUAUUGUAAACCUCUUUUGUCAGGGAACAAAGGCGGGGACUAGUCCCCGGAUGAGGGUACCUGAAGAAAAAGCAUCGGCUAACUCCGUGCCAGCAGCCGCGGUAAUACGGAGGAUGCGAGCGUUAUCCGGAUUUAUGGGGUUUAAAGGGUGCGCAGGCGGCCUGUUAAGUCAGCGGUAAAAGCCCGGGGCUCAACCCCGGCGAGCCGUUGAAACUGGCUGGCGGGAGUUGGCGAGAAGUACGCGGAAUGCGCGGUGUAGCGGUGAAAUGCUUAGAUAUCGCGCAGAACCCCGAUUGCGAAGGCAGCGUACCGGCUCCACACUGACGCUGAGGCACGAAAGCGUGGGUAUCGAACAGGAUUAGAUACCCUUGUAGUC